GACCGUGUAGCUCAGUUGGCAAAGCAUUGGGCUAGUAUUCCAAAGGUCGUAGGUUCGAAUCCCACCGCAGCCA
rnacentral:tRNA from 1 species